rnacentral:rRNA from 1 species
UACGUAGGGGACUAGCGUUGUCCGGAUUUAUUGGGCGUAAAGAGCGUGUAGGCGGCCAGAUAGGUCCGUUGUGAAAACUGGAGGCUUAACCUCCAGCUGUCGAUGGAAACCAUCUGGCUAGAGUCCGGAAGAGGAGAGUGGAAUUCCUGGUGUAGCGGUGAAAUGCGCAGAUAUCAGGAAGAACACCCGUGGCGAAAGCGGCUCUCUGGGACGGUACUGACGCUGAGACGCGAAAGCGUGGGGAGCGAACAGG